CCUUACUUCCUUCCCUUCCCUCGGCUUCCCGCUCUUGCCUCACUCUCAGCGGCUGCCUUCGCCCCUGUCUGCAGACAGCGCCGCUGGAUGCUCCCAGCUGGACUUCAACCCCACUCCUCUCAGUCCCUCUCCCCACUGCCUUCCAGACGCGCCUCUUCCCCGCCCCGCGCCCCUCUCUCCUCUCCCACCCCUGCCCCUCUCCGCGGCGCUCACCCUCCUCAGUCCCAGUUUCUGAAAGGACUCAGCUGAGAAAGGACAACUGGGUUCCGCUUUCCUUAACCCUACACCCUUUAGCUGGAUGCUGUCAGAGGCGAUGGAGAAACGCAAAGGUGCGUUAAUUUUACUCUAGCCAGAGUAUAAAAGAACUGCCCACGCCAGCUAUUGUACUACGCAGCUUCGAAACUCCUGCACGCUCUCCUGUGUGGCUCCCGUCCGUGAUGGGACUGUAGUUGAGGAGCUCGGUCUCAAAUGGUGCCUUCCGUCAGUGACCUUGAGUCGGUUGCCUAAGAUUUUAGAUUUUCCUUUUCCUUCCUGGGAGGGGCAUUAUUUAUACCUUUGCAGUCCCACAAACAGUGUUUAGACCAAAUAAGUAUCCUUUAGUAAACCUAGAACUGCCAAGUGAUCAUCAUUUUGCCCGUUUGUUCCUACUCAACCCAGCAGACAAUUUGGGUCACGCUUCAGUUCUGGCAGUAAAGACAAACUGAGUCAGCAGUUAGGAGUGGACUCCCUUAAACAACAGAGUUAGAGUGGGGAAGUGGUCAUAACAUCGCUGUAAUCACAAACUUGUUUUUCCUAACACUGCAAUCUACAGAAGUUUCAGGAUUUCCUCUAAUAAACAUAAGGCUACUAGACGCAACAAUAGAAUUACCAUAUUGUUUUUCCUGGUUUGAAAGGACCAGAUGGAAAGAAACUGGGCAAGCCAAUGAAAGUCUCUGGGGAUCAUGGGAAUUGAGUGUCUAUGAAAACCAUAUUCCAGACAAGAAUAUAGUCUAAGGACACAGCAAGAGGCAACAUUUUGGAAGCAGAGGGCAACUCUCACUGGAAACCAAAUCUCCUGGCACCUUGAUCUUGGAUUUUACAGCCUCCAGAACUGAUAGCUGGGAGGCAUUACAUAGUCAUGUGCGAGGUCAAAACUGAGUCACCACCACAACCAAGUUCCAGCUGGCAAGAAGAGGAAAAAUAACACAGAGGAGUUAUGACCAGUGUUGUAAGGAUCUGGCCUAGAAAUGGCAUGCAUCUCUUCCACUAAUAUCCUAUUGGUAAAAAUGUAGUCACAUGGGCACACCACCUAUCUGCAUGGAAGGCUGGGAAAUGUUGAUCGGUAGGGCAGCCAUAUGUGUAGGAAGGAGAAAACAGAAUUUGGUGGAUACCUAGUAGUCUCUGCCAUACCCUUGACCAGAAAUUUUUCUUCUAAAGAAUUUAAUUCUAAAAGUUAUAGACAUUCCCAAAGAUAUACCUGCAAGCAUCACAGCUUUGUGUAUAAUUGCAAAAGUUGAAAUCAACAUGAAUGCCCAAAAUAGUGAAUUAUUUAAACAGAUUAUUACCCAUAUUAUGAAGAAAUACUCUGCAACUCUUAAAAAUAAAUGUAAUGUGCCAGGCGCAAUGGGAUAUGCCUGCAGGCCCAGCUACACGGGAGGCCAAGGCAGGAGGAUCACUUGAAAUCAAGAGUUCAAGUCUAGCCUAGACAACAUAGUGAGACUUGGUCUCUAAAAAAGAAAAAAAAAAAUAAAACUGAUGUAAUGAAUAUAUAAUUACAACAAAAGAGGUCUAACACUAUAGUAGAAAAGUUUGGGGCACUCAUCCCAUUCAUAAUUAUUUUACAUUUAAAUUACUGUUCCUACUUAAGUGGUGAGCUUGGUAACCAUUUUCAUAUCAGGUGAUACUGCUGCAGUAAUCAUAGCUGUUUGAAUCAGGAAUAAUCCCAAUCACAUUUUCUCUUAAUCGUUUAUUAUACUGGGCAUUGGGGUUGCAAGAUAAUGCACAGUCCGAGCUCAAUACAUGUCUUCAUGUACCUGUAUGUAAAUCCCACUUUUAUUCUAAAAUUCUUUGAAUAUUUUGUUUCUUGGAACCCAAUGAUCCUAAGAAAAUUAUGUACUUUUACCUGAAAAUUAAAACCAAUAUUUAUAAAAAGUGUAUAUGCAGUAUGAUACCACUUUUAAAAAAAGAUAAAUUUAUAGAAAAAAGUUUAUAUGACUGACAACAAUGUCUCUGAGUGGUAGGAUUACAGUUAAUUUUUAUUUUCUUCAUUCUACUUAUCUUUAUUUUCUGAACUUUCUACAAUGAACAUGUUUUAUUUUUACUUUUGUUAAAAUAAAUAACAUUUAAUUUGACGGAAAAUUCUAAAAAUCAACAUUUGGUAACUUAAAUAUUCAUUGGCACAUGAUUCUGUGCCUGUUUCUGGGGGUCAUUCCCAUGAGAAGAGCAGGUAGAACUUAUGAGAAUAGAGCAGUCGAAAUAUUAUAGGUUUCAUAUUUUACGGCUUUAUUGAAAACAUUGAUAUAUUGAAUAUUCAUAAAUUUUAAUUUAACUUUCUUUUAUAAUCCUUAAUGUGAGGCUAAGGUAUAAGGAGAAAGGAGAUUGGUAAGGAAGUGUGAUACAUAUUGAAUCAGGUGUCAAGGUACCAUUUGUGCCUGGAUCUGACCAAUAGACCAAGGUAAAAAUCUCAAAGAAUGAGACUUGUAAUGAGAAUGCCACAAACUUGAAUACCUUAUGCACAAAACACAAACAUUGUUAUGCAUAAUGUACAUGAACCCUGAAACAAAGAUAAUGAUUUGGACCACCCAACUGAAGUGGCAUGUUAUGUUUUUGGCAUGAACAAAAGAAACAAGAGAGAAAAAAAUCAAAAUAAUUAAAAUAAAUUGUUAGAGAAAAGUUACUUUAAAAAUAGCUAUAACGCUUUGCAAUUUCAGUAACAGUUCUGCCUCUGAUGCAAUGUAAAACAUGUAUUAGACAUUCAGGCUCCACAAUAAAUUUUAAUGAGCACUACAAAUUUAGAAUAUAUAAAAAUAUCAGUAACCUAUGAAUUCAUCAACAUAACUCACUUUUCAGUUAAGUUAGGCUGAGUUGAAAUUCUACUAAGUUUUCCCAUAUUCUUGAUAAAGGCUAAAUUUGAAAUAAUUUAUUUAGAUGACUAAUUGGCAAUUUGAUAGUAGUUACAUUUUAUGUAACACUUGAUAUAAUAACCCAAAUUAAUUAGCUCAAUAUUAUCUUCUGUGGUUUAUUGAUCCAAAAGUACAUAUUUGUUAUGUAAACUUAUACUAUGUAAACUUGAAUUAGUUUUUUGCUUCCUUGAAUUAAUAAAGCCCAUUAAUGCAAAUCUAAGCCUUCAUAGACUUUUCCAAUCCUUAGUUAAAUAUUAAAAACUGAGUAUUGUAGUUAUUUGCUAGGUAUAAAAGGUGACUCAGAGUAGAGAGUAAGAUGUCAGCAAAUAGACAAUAAGAUGUCAGCAAAAGUGCCUCAAAUUUUAACUGCGUCAAGUUAAGGGCAUUGUAAAUACUGUAGUUUUAUGUAGCUUGCAACUUCUACUGAAAUGAGUUUAAUCAUGUCUUUCACAUAGCUGAAGUUUGUGUCAAGAUUUAAGCUGAUUUUCUCAUUCUUAUCAAAGUCUCACCUGGGGGUAGGGAGGGGUAGGCCUACCUCCCACCUCUAUACUAUCAUUUUAGGAACAGACAGGCAUAAAUCUGUUCAUAUGGUAGAACACAUGAUGUUAGAGUAUAUUUUGUUGAAUGCUAUGGAAUAUUAAUAUAAUUAAUUCUAAAAUAUCACCUAAAAUAUGUCAACUGAAGAUCUGACUGUACUAAAUAUGAAAAAUAAAGCAGCACAUACUUUCUCUACUGUUUUCCUGGCCAUUCAUUGUCACAAGGCUUAGCCAGUCCCUGACACCCAAUACGCUACCAAUAAGCCAC
rnacentral:lncRNA from 10 species